AUGCGGGUGAUCUCGACAGCCGCGGCUGGGGGGCAUGCUGCGUGCGCGGAGUGGGCGGGGACGGCGCUGGGCGGUGGACGACGCCCGGGGAGUCGCGGAAGUGGGAGUGGGUGGACUGGGAGCUGCCCUGCUACACUACGUCCCUCCUCACCGUCGUCAUCCUCGGCGUCGGCCUCAACGCCAAGCCCGACCUCACCCUCCAGACCUGGGCGCACCACAGGCCCUCGAGCGUCUCCAGCAGCAGGAGCUCGCCGCUGCCGCCGCGGCUGCGGCCGAAGCCGCUGA
rnacentral:rRNA from 1 species